AAUCUUCCGCAAUGGACGAAAGUCUGACGGAGCAACGCCGCGUGAGUGAUGAAGGUUUUCGGAUCGUAAAGCUCUGUUGUUAGGGAAGAACAAGUACCUGUUAAAUAAGCAGGUACCUUGACGGUACCUAACCAGAAAGCCACGGCUAACUACGUGCCAGCAGCCGCGGUAAUACGUAGGUGGCAAGCGUUGUCCGGAAUUAUUGGGCGUAAAGCGCGCGCAGGCGGUUCCUUAAGUCUGAUGUGAAAGCCCACGGCUCAACCGUGGAGGGUCAUUGGAAACUGGGGAACUUGAGUGCAGAAGAGGAGAGCGGAAUUCCACGUGUAGCGGUGAAAUGCGUAGAGAUGUGGAGGAACACCAGUGGCGAAGGCGGCUCUCUGGUCUGUAACUGACGCUGAGGCGCGAAAGCGUGGGGAGCGAACAGGAUUAGAUACCCUGGUAGUCC
rnacentral:rRNA from 2 species